rnacentral:lncRNA from 1 species
GCAAGCUAAAUACACUGACUGAAGACGAAGGCAAAGAGGGUGUGCUGAUGUUGCAGAAACAAUUGAAGGGUGCUGGACGUGCUACCGUUCGUGUUAUCAUCGGACGAGCGUCAGACUUGGUGGCGAGGGUGUUGUGCGUGAUUUCUGAGCUGGCGCUUAUUCGGUGGGAAAGGUUGUUGUGAGGUGGGCCCAAGGCCGUGUAAAACCUGAGUAUAAAGUUGUAAGCAUCACGUGAUUAGGGAAUCAAUGAUGGAAAGGAGAAAUCACAAUUCUACUCUGCUAGCUGUCAUUCUUCUUUCCUAUCUCGACUCCCUCUUCUUCGUAUCACUACUUGUCUCUUCCAGUUCUUCUUAUUUCUGGAAUGUUUCUGGUGUUUGAGUGAUCUCCGUUACGGUCCAGCAUGGUAAGACCGUAACAAUUGGUAUUAGAGCCCUCUCGCCACAAAUUCCGCCGAAAUUUUUUCUUGGUGAGCGCUGGCGCCGCCGAGGAAACCAACAAAGCUGCAGACUCAAAUGGCCGCCACGAUUGAAGAUUUGGCGAAGCGGUUUGAGAGUUUUGAGCUCAUGAUGCAGCAAUCAUUAGAUAAGAUCAGUGGUCUUGAAGCCAAGCAAUCGACGACCGACACAUCAUUGAGUGCGUUGUUGAACAAGACGGAGGAGACUUCUACUCGGCUGCAUCGUCUCGAAGCCGUACCUCCCCCACCUCCUCCGCCACCUCUGCGUCCUCUACAGCCACCGUCGUCGAGUUGGGGUGCUUCUAUUGAUCUCAAUGUUGCUCCGCCGUAUCCGGAGCGGCCCGACGGGCACCGUCGUGACACCUUCCACCGGGACGUGGGCGGGGGGAUCCUUGGAUCCUGCCCGCUGCGCCCGGUCACGGGUACGUUCCCUGAUUCGACCUCGUUUCCUUUCGAGAGUUCACCAGGAACUCGUGAGUUUGGGGCCAAAUCACCUCCUCUGCCCAAACUCGAGUUUCCUCGGUUUGAUGGGGAUAACCCAAGGCUAUGGCGUGACCGCUGUGAUAUGUUUUUCGAGGUGUAUCCGGUGAGUCCCCAGUUGAAGACAAGGUUUGCGGCUCUAAAUUUCAAGGGCACGGCCGCGGCAUGGCUUCAAACGUUGGAGCGCCGAGGUCGCAUUGUUGAUUGGGAGGUUUUCUGUGAGGCGGUGUUUGAUCGCUUUGACAGAAAUCAGUAUCAGGCUCAGCUAAGGCGAUUGGAUGUUUUGCGUCAGACCGGAUCUGUGGCUGAGUACCUUGAGAAGUUUGAGGAGUUAUCUCACGGCGUUUUACUGUACAACAGUGCUUAUGAUGAUACUUAUUUUGUGACUCGGUUCAUGGGUGGUCUGAAGGAGGAGAUACGCGUGCCAAUUUCUUUGCAUAGGCCCAGUAAUGUGAUGGACGCGUCAGCGUUGGCUUUUGUUCAGGAGGAGGUUUUGGCCUCACAAGUGAGCCGGUCUAUAACCAAAGAGAACCAUAAGGCAGUGUCUAAGUCCAAUUUUCCAGUGGAUAAGUUCAAGCAUACAGGAGCUGAGAAGGGGUUUGUCCCAAAACUUAAGUCUGAAAAAGGGGAAUCUGAGGACAGAGUUCAGUCCCUGCUGCAAUUCCGGAAGAAAAAUGGCCUCUGCUUUAAAUGUGGAGAAAAGUGGGGCCGUAAUCAUAAGUGUCCAGCUCAGGUUGCUAUUCAUGUCAUAGAAGAGUUGUGGGAUGCUUUGGAGCAACCUUUGAUGGAGGAGCUUGAUUCUAUUGAUAGUGAGGGGGAAAGCACUGAUGUGGUAAUGACUAUUGGGGAUUCUGCUUCUCCAAACACUAUCAAGAGGAAAACUAUGAGGUUACAUGGGUUGGUGGCAAAUCAGGAAAUUCUAAUUUUGGUGGAUUCUGGAAGUGUGGGGUCCUUUGUAAGUGAUAAGUUAGCUGCACAGUUGCAGUACCCUUUGCAAUCAUGUGCUCCUUCUCACUUUGUCACUGCAGAUGGUAGUCCUAUGGUUUGUCAACAAAGAAUUCCAAAUCUGCAAUGGGCCUCUCAGAAACACACUUUUGUUACUAAUGUUGGUAUUUUGCCCUUGCAAAGCUUCGACAUGAUAUUGGGGCAAGACUGGUUGGAGGAAUGCAGUCCUAUGUGGGUUCAUUGGCAAAAGAAAAUCAUGAAAUUUACUUAUCAAGGGAAACGCAUUACCUUGAAGGGGCUAACUAAUGAGGUGGUUAAGUGCUUUCCAAUCAGUGCAAGAAAACUAAAAGGGUUGCUUAGAAGGAAAGUAGUCACACAUGGUGUCCUAAUGUUACAUCAAGUUUCGAAGACACAAUUGAACACUGAACUACAGUCCCUUCAAUCAGUUUCUGUUGUUGACCAGUAUGCAGAUCACCCUGAAGUGCAGCAGUUACUUUCAGAGUAUCAGCAUCUGUUUAAAGAGCCUACGACCUUGCCUCCUUCUCGUCCAUUUGAUCAUCAUAUUGCAUUAAUUCCUGGUGCUCAACCAGUGAAUGUUAGGCCCUAUCGCUAUGCACCGACUCAAAAAUCAGAGAUUGAAAAACAGUUAACUGAAAUGCUUCAGAAUGGUGUCAUUCGACCCAGUAAUAGCCCUUAUGCUUCUCCUGUCCUAUUGGUCAGAAAAAAAGAUGGUUCAUGGAGGUUUUGUGUUGAUUAUCGCCAUCUUAAUGCUAUCUCAGUAAAAAACAAGCAUCCCUUACCAGUGGUUGAUGAAUUGUUGGACGAAUUGGCUGGUGCUAGAUGGUUUUCUAAAUUGGAUUUUCGAUCUGGAUAUCAUCAGAUUCGGAUUGUGAAAGGAGAUGAGCAUAAAACUGCAUUUAAGACCCAUAGUGGAUUAUAUGAAUUUUUGGUGAUGCCUUUUGGUCUUACUAAUGCCCCAGCCACAUUUCAAAGCACCAUGAACCAGAUUUUUGGUCCUCUCAUGAGGCAGGGUGUAUUGGUUUUUAUGGAUGAUAUUUUGGUUUAUACUACUACUUAUGAGCAACAUUUGGUCUUACUUAAGCAAGUGUUGGACAUCAUUCAGCAGCAUCAGUUUUAUAUCAAGCUGUCAAAGUGCUCUUUUGCACAGCAAACUAUUGAGUAUUUGGGACACUGCAUUUCUGGUGAGGGGGUGGCAACUGAGCCUUCUAAAAUUUCUGCUGUUCAACACUGGCCUACUCCUACGAAUUUGAAAGAGUUAAGAGGAUUCUUGGGGUUGACAGGGUAUUACAGGAAGUUUAUUAAGCACUACAGUAUGAUCAGUAAACCAUUAACUGGCUUGUUGAAAAAAGGUUCCCAGUUUUUGUGGACACCCAUUGUUGAGGAAGCUUUUCAGUUGUUAAAAAAGGCUCUGGUUCAUGCCCCAGUUUUGGCAAUACCUGAUUUUCAGCAACCAUUUGUGUUGGAAACUGAUGCUAGUGAUCUGGGUUUGGGAGCAGUUUUAAUGCAGCAUGAUCAUCCUGUAGCUUAUUUGAGUAAGGCCUUAAGUCCAUCGAAUCAGGGUCUUUCUACUUAUGAAAAAGAAUGCUUGGCUAUUCUAAUGGCUGUGGACAAAUGGAGGUCUUACUUGCAGGGUCAAGAAUUCACUAUUAAGACUGAUCACAAGAGUUUGCUGUACUUAAAUGAGCAAAGGAUUCACACUAAAAUUCAACACAAGGCCUUGUUGAAAUUAAUGGAUCUGCAGUUUAAAAUUGUAUAUAAGAAAGGAGUUUCUAAUGCUGCAGCUGAUGCUCUUUCAAGGUGUCCAGUGCAGGAUACUAUCUUAGCUAUUUCUUCUUGCACUCCAGUUUGGGUUGAAAGGCUGCUGGCUGGUUAUGCUGAUGAUCCUACUGCUCAGCAAUUGUUAACUACAUUGGCUGUCUCUGGGCAAAAUACUACAGACUAUCAGCUGGUAGAUGGUCUCAUCAGACAUAAGGGACGAGUUUGGGUUGGUAAUAAUGAGUUGGCCCAACAACACAUCCUGCAAGCCUUACACAGUAGUGGCAUUGGGGGACAUUCUGGGUUUCAUGCUACAUACCAUAGGAUUAAGCAGUUAUUUUCUUGGCCUAAGAUGAAACAAACAAUUCGGGCUUAUAUUCAGCAGUGUUCUAUUUGCCAACAGGCCAAGGUUGAGCAUGUCAAAACUCCAGGUUUGUUACAACCAUUGCCAGUGCCCAAUGCUCCAUGGGCUAUUGUUUGUAUGGAUUUUAUUGAGGGCUUGCCAUCUUCAAAUAGAAUGAAUGCCAUUUUGGUAGUUAUUGAUAAAUUCUCCAAAUAUGCUCACUUUCUGCCACUGUCUCAUCCCUUUACUGCCUUACAAGUGGCUCAAGUCUAUAUGGACAACAUUUACAAGCUUCAUGGGUUGCCUGAAGCCAUCAUUACAGAUAGGGAUAAAAUUUUUACUAGCAAUGUUUGGCAGGAGUUGUUCAAGUUGUCGGAUACUCAAUUAUUGAUGAGCUCAUCUUACCAUCCGCAAACUGAUGGUCAAACUGAGCGCUUAAAUCAGUGUUUGGAAGCUUUCCUUCGUUGUUCUGUUCACUCUUGUCCACAACGAUGGAGCAAAUGGUUGCCACUAGCGGAAUUCUGGUACAAUACCUCGUUUCAUUCAGCUUUGGGUCAUUCUCCAUUUGAGGUGUUGUAUGGCCAUCCCCCAAGGCACUUUGGUAUUUCUCCACUGUCUAGUACUAGCGUUCCUGAUUUGGAGAUCUGGUUGACAGAAAGGAACAUGUUGAAUGGUUUGAUUCAGCAACAGUUGUUGCGAGCUCAGCAGCGUAUGAAGUCUCAGGCCGAUAAACAUCGCUCUGAGCGAGAAUUUCAGGUUGGAGAUAUGGUUUAUUUGAAACUUCAGCCGUAUAUUCAAACCUCAGUAGCCUCUCGGUCUAAUCAAAAACUUGCAUUCAAGUUUUAUGGGCCCUUUCAAGUCUUGCAACGGGUGGGUCAAGUGGCGUAUAAAUUGGAUCUUCCAGCUGAAUCUCGUAUUCAUCCAGUGAUUCAUGUUUCCCAGCUUAAGAAACAUAUUUCUGCUGCAGUUUCAGUCAGUCAAGAUUUGCCCAAUGUUGUCGAGGAAGCUACUGUUCCAGUUGUUCCUGUAGCUUUGCUGGAUCAUCGUAUUGUUUCCAAAGGUUCCUCACCUGUCUCUCAGUUGUUGGUUCAGUGGUCAGCUUUGCCAUCGGACCUGGCUACUUGGGAGGAAGUUCAUGACAUAUCUCGUCGAUUUCCUGAUGCACCAGCUUGGGGGCAAGCUGGUUUUCGUGGAGGGGGCAGUGUCAUGUCCUUGAGGGCCAUGGCAAGCUAAAUACACUGACUGAAGACGAAGGCAAAGAGGGUGUGCUGAUGUUGCAGAAACAAUUGAAGGGUGCUGGACGUGCUACCGUUCGUGUUAUCAUCGGACGAGCGUCAGACUUGGUGGCGAGGGUGUUGUGCGUGAUUUCUGAGCUGGCGCUUAUUCGGUGGGAAAGGUUGUUGUGAGGUGGGCCCAAGGCCGUGUAAAACCUGAGUAUAAAGUUGUAAGCAUCACGUGAUUAGGGAAUCAAUGAUGGAAAGGAGAAAUCACAAUUCUACUCUGCUAGCUGUCAUUCUUCUUUCCUAUCUCGACUCCCUCUUCUUCGUAUCACUACUUGUCUCUUCCAGUUCUUCUUAUUUCUGGAAUGUUUCUGGUGUUUGAGUGAUCUCCGUUACGGUCCAGCAUGGUAAGACCGUAAC